UGAGGAAUAUUGGUCAAUGGGCGAGAGCCUGAACCAGCCAAGUCGCGUGAAGGAAGACAGUCCUAAGGAUUGUAAACUUCUUUUAUACGGGAAUAACGGGCGAUACGAGUAUUGCAUUGAAUGUACCAUAAGAAUAAGCAUCGGCUAACUCCGUGCCAGCAGCCGCGGUAAUACGGAGGAUGCGAGCGUUAUCCGGAUUUAUUGGGUUUAAAGGGUGCGUAGGUUGUUCGGUAAGUCAGCGGUGAAACCUGAGCGCUCAACGUUCAGCCUGCCGUUGAAACUGCCGGGCUUGAGUUCAGUGGCGGCAGGCGGAAUUCGUGGUGUAGCGGUGAAAUGCAUAGAUAUCACGAGGAACUCCGAUUGCGAAGGCAGCUUGCCAUACUGCGACUGACACUGAAGCACGAAGGCGUGGGUAUCAAACAGG
rnacentral:rRNA from 1 species